ensembl:lncRNA
UCCUCAGAUAAAGGUUUGUUUUCUUUCAAUUUUCAUUCAUCUGAAAAUUUGGAAUUAUUUUCCCUCAAGUCUCUCUCUUUCGUGAGAGACUUCUUUACAAAACUACAGCUGAUCACUGUCUUCUCCCCUUUGCCUAAUCUAGUGCCUAGCAGAGAGCAGGGGCUCAAAAAUAUUUGUUAGAAAUAUAAAGGAAAGCAAAGGAUACAUGAGAUGACUUCAUAUAGAGGCUUGCCACUCCCUCUGUGGAUACAUGGGGCUGAUCAUGUCCAUGUGAUUUCCAGGGGAAUAAUAAUUUUACAUUGAAAUUGAUUACUUUCCUUUUUAAAGAAAAACUGAAGAAAAAAAAGAGAUGCAAUUGAGAAUGUGGUAUUAGAAACCUGUCACUGUUUUGGCCACGCAGUAACCACAUGUCCUUGGAUACUGAUUAAGUCUUCUGAGAGGAUGGGGAAUGAGCAGAGAAAUCUGUGUGCUUUGUCUUGAGCGUCAUAUACUGGUGGUUUAAUACGUGGCUUAUUGUGUGAAAAAAACACACCCCGGUUUGUAGUGUUUGCCAGUUUCCAUGGUGUGAAUUCUGUCAUCAGAGACACAAUGUGACGUCUAUGAAUGUGAACUUGGGAGGAUAUGAUGACAGUUGGCUCUCGUGACCCAGCAGGAGCCAAGUUCAGCACAUCCCAGGUUAUGAGCAGGCAAGUUAACGGAAGAGGCUUCAGAAUUCUGUAAACAUCGGUCGCUGAAAGCCUCAAGCGAGCUAUCAUCUGCUGCCACACACAUGCUCUAUAUACAGUUCAUCUUGGAAAGCA